rnacentral:lncRNA from 1 species
CCAAAUUUGUCUUGAACACCUGGCAUCAAGCUGUCCUCUUGCCUAAGCCUCCCAAAGUGUUUGAAUUACAGGCUGGAAUUCAGUGGCGUGAACACAGCUUACUGCAGUCUCGACCUCAGGGCUCAAGUGAUCCUCCUGCCUCAGCCUCCUCCUGAGUGGCUAGCACCACAGAUCUACGGAAUCCAGAGGCAGCAUUGUCUCCAACCUUCCGUAGUGACAGCCCAGUGCCUACUGCACCCACCUCUGGUGGCCCUAAGCCCAGCACAGCUUCAGCAGUUCCUGAAUUAGCUACAGAUCCUGAGUUAGAGAAGAAGUUGCUACACCACCUCUCUGAUCUGGCCUUAACAUUGCCCACUGAUGCUGUGUCCAUCUGUCUUGCCAUCUCCACGCCAGAUGCUCCUGCCACUCAAGAUGGGGUAGAAAGCCUCCUGCAGAAGUUUGCAGCUCAGGAGUUGAUUGAGGUAAAGCGAGGUCUCCUACAAGAUGAUGCACAUCCUACUCUUGUAACCUAUGCUGACCAUUCCAAGCUCUCUGCCAUGAUGGGUGCUGUGGCAGAAAAGAAG